rnacentral:rRNA from 1 species
GUGACUGCGUACCUUUUGUAUAAUGGGUCAGCGACUUAUAUUCUGUAGCAAGGUUAACCGUAUAGGGGAGCCGGAGGGAAACCGAGUCUUAAUUGGGCGUUAAGUUGCAGGGUAUAGACCCGAAACCCGGUGAUCUAGCCAUGGGCAGGUUGAAGGUUGGGUAACACUAACUGGAGGACCGAACCGACUAAUGUUGAAAAAUUAGCGGAUGACCUGUGGCUGGGGGUGAAAGGCCAAUCAAACCGGGAGAUAGCUGGUUCUCCCCGAAAGCUAUUUAGGUAGCGCCUCGUGAAUUCAUCUCCGGGGGUAGAGCACUGUUUCGGCUAGGGGGCCAUCCCGGCUUACCAACCCGAUGCAAACUGCGAAUACCGGAGAAUGUUAUCACGGGAGACACACGGCGGGUGCUAACGUCCGUCGUGAAGAGGGAAACAACCCAGACCGCCAGCUAAGGUCCCAAAGUCAUGGUUAAGUGGGAAACGAUGUGGGAAGGCCCAGACAGCCAGGAUGUUGGCUUAGAAGCAGCCAUCAUUUAAAGAAAGCGUAAUAGCUCACUGGUCGAGUCGGCCUGCGCGGAAGAUGUAACGGGGCUAAACCAUGCACCGAAGCUGCGGCAGCGACGCUGAUGCGUUGUUGGGUAGGGGAGCGUUCUGUAAGCCUGCGAAGGUGGCCUGUGAGGGUUGCUGGAGGUAUCAGAAGUGCGAAUGCUGACAUAAGUAACGAUAAAGCGGGUGAAAAGCCCGCUCGCCGGAAGACCAAGGGUUCCUGUCCAACGUUAAUCGGGGCAGGGUGAGUCGACCCCUAAGGCGAGGCCGAAAGGCGUAGUCGAUGGGAAACGGGUUAAUAUUCCCGUACUUGGUGUUACUGCGAAGGGGGGACGGAGAAGGCUAUGUUGGCCGGGCGACGGUUGUCCCGGUUUAAGCGUGUAGGUGUGUGUUCCAGGUAAAUCCGGUUCACUUUAACACUGAGGCGUGAUGACGAGGCACUACGGUGCUGAAGCAACAAAUGCCCUGCUUCCAGGAAAAGCCUCUAAGCAUCAGGUAACAUCAAAUCGUACCCCAAACCGACACAGGUGGUCAGGUAGAGAAUACCAAGGCGCUUGAGAGAACUCGGGUGAAGGAACUAGGCAAAAUGGUGCCGUAACUUCGGGAGAAGGCACGCUGACACGUAGGUGAAGUGAUUUACUCACGGAGCUGAAGUCAGUCGAAGAUACCAGCUGGCUGCAACUGUUUAUUAAAAACACAGCACUGUGCAAACACGAAAGUGGACGUAUACGGUGUGACGCCUGCCCGGUGCCGGAAGGUUAAUUGAUGGGGUCAGCGCAAGCGAAGCUCCUGAUCGAAGCCCCGGUAAACGGCGGCCGUAACUAUAACGGUCCUAAGGUAGCGAAAUUCCUUGUCGGGUAAGUUCCGACCUGCACGAAUGGCGUAAUGAUGGCCAGGCUGUCUCCACCCGAGACUCAGUGAAAUUGAACUCGCUGUGAAGAUGCAGUGUACCCGCGGCAAGACGGAAAGACCCCGUGAACCUUUACUAUAGCUUGACACUGAACAUUGAGCCUUGAUGUGUAGGAUAGGUGGGAGGCUUUGAAGUGUGGACGCCAGUCUGCAUGGAGCCGACCUUGAAAUACCACCCUUUAAUGUUUGAUGUUCUAACGUGGACCCGUAAUCCGGGUUGCGGACAGUGUCUGGUGGGUAGUUUGACUGGGGCGGUCUCCUCCUAAAGAGUAACGGAGGAGCACGAAGGUUGGCUAAUCCUGGUCGGACAUCAGGAGGUUAGUGCAAUGGCAUAAGCCAGCUUGACUGCGAGCGUGACGGCGCGAGCAGGUGCGAAAGCAGGUCAUAGUGAUCCGGUGGUUCUGAAUGGAAGGGCCAUCGCUCAACGGAUAAAAGGUACUCCGGGGAUAACAGGCUGAUACCGCCCAAGAGUUCAUAUCGACGGCGGUGUUUGGCACCUCGAUGUCGGCUCAUCACAUCCUGGGGCUGAAGUAGGUCCCAAGGGUAUGGCUGUUCGCCAUUUAAAGUGGUACGCGAGCUGGGUUUAGAACGUCGUGAGACAGUUCGGUCCCUAUCUGCCGUGGGCGCUGGAGAACUGAGGGGGGCUGCUCCUAGUACGAGAGGACCGGAGUGGACGCAUCACUGGUGUUCGGGUUGUCAUGCCAAUGGCACUGCCCGGUAGCUAAAUGCGGAAGAGAUAAGUGCUGAAAGCAUCUAAGCACGAAACUUGCCCCGAGAUGAGUUCUCCCUGAGACUUAGAGUCUCCUGAAGGAACGUUGAAGACGACGACGUUGAUAGGCCGGGUGUGUAAGCGCAGCGAUGCGUUGAGCUAACCGGUACUAAUGAACCGUGAGGCUU